AAGUCGUAACAAGGUUUCCGUAGGUGAACCUGCGGAAGGAUCAUUAACACGUAUCCAACGUAUACACCCCUGUGGUCCUGUGCGCGGCUCUAUAUGUGAGUGGUUUGAAACCUACUUUGUGACCUGCGUGGUUGCUUAUUGCAAAUCUCAGCACAGAGCUUAUUAGAUCUGCGCGAUCAAUACGAAAGCGACCUUGACCAAACCUGUGUGGUUUGGGGGUUCUCUGUUUAUUGAGAUCGGGUUCGACCAGUCUUCUGCGAGAAGACAGCUUCAUAUAGCAGACGUUUUAACCAAACCAUUUACCAAACAUGUCUAAUUUAGAAAUAAGUAUGAUUCGCUCUGCUUUAUUUCGAUAUACGAAACGUAUAACAACUCUUAACAACGGAUAUCUUGGUUCUC
rnacentral:misc_RNA from 1 species